rnacentral:rRNA from 1 species
CCUACGGGUGGCAGCAGUCGAGAAUCAUUCACAAUGGGGGAAACCCUGAUGGUGCGACGCCGCGUGGGGGAAUGAAGGUCUUCGGAUUGUAAACCCCUGUCAUGUGGGAGCAAAUUAAAAAGAUAGUACCACAAGAGGAAGAGACGGCUAACUCUGUGCCGGCAGCCGCGGUAAUACAGAGGUCUCAAGCGUUGUUCGGAAUCACUGGGCGUAAAGCGUGCGUAGGCUGUUUCGUAAGUCGUGUGUGAAAGGCGCGGGCUCAACCCGCGGACGGCACAUGAUACUGCGAGACUAGAGUGAUGGAGGGGGAACCGGAAUUCUCGGUGUAGCAGUGAAAUGCGUAGAUAUCGAGAGGAACACUCGUGGCGAAGGCGGGUUCCUGGACAUUAACUGACGCUGAGGCACGAAGGCCAGGGGAGCGAAAGGGAUUAGAUACCCCAGUAGUC